rnacentral:rRNA from 1 species
AUGGCCGCACCACAGCUGUCCAUCUCGCGCGUCCGCAUAGACACGUGGGGUGGUGGACCGACCAGGGGCGGAUCGCACGCGACCGCGACGCGAAGGAUCCCGCCCAGCAUCCGACGGGUGAGGGCGGCACGCGCGUGCCGGAGAAGGAGGAGAAGGAAGUGGCGAUGGGGAAGGAGAAGAAGGAAGCGACACGAAGCUCUGCGCGAAGCGGGGGACGACCCGGAGACGCGAGAUCCUGCUGAUUCGACGCCUCGAGGUCAGUUUAACAUACGAUCCCCUCGUCCGCAUAUCUCUGCUUGCUGGGGUUUCGUCGCCGACGCCCUCGUCGUCAUCAACAACCGCAGGAGCGAAUCAAAUGGGGAGAUAUGUCCACGAGAUAGGGUCGGGGGUAGGGGGAAGGGGGAGGCGCUCCGGAGAUUUUUUUCAUGCCAUUUGGGAUGCUGCAUCAUUUGUUUUCCUCUUCCAGCAAAUGAGACAGAAGAUAGCUCGCCGACGUCCUAUGUCGACCUGCAAGAGUUGCGGUGCGGGGAGGGCGGCGUCACGGCGGGGCGGCACGGCAUGAGCGUGUUCACGGGCUGGUGGCGGCUGGGGCCGUGCUCCGCUCUAAUGGCGGCUACUCAGAAGCACGCAGCCGUACUUCCUGCUGCCGGACGGCGCCGGGGACAAAAGGCGCUUUUUUGUGUUAAACCUGACAGACCUGAACAUGUCAUCAAAGUAGUAAAAGAUGAGGAGCUUGUGGAUAGUGAUUUUGUAGGCAAGGAAAAAACCAAAAUUGAAAAACUAGGGGGGAGGGCAUCUUUUUCAGUAUCCCUGGAGUGGCAGUUUUUAAGAUGGAUGACUACCCAUAUCAACAGAAUGGCGAGGGUGCAGCAAGAACCGACGCGGCGGCCAGGAACAAAGAUGUGGGUUUACAAGUCCGUCGCCGCACCCACAACAACCAAAGUGCCCAAAAUAUACUUUCUAGCCAUCGAAGAACCCAACCCGAAUCACCUAUCACAAGGAAUAAACGGUGGACAAAUUAGCGUACCCCCUCCCCUGGAAACUGGACUUUUUGCUCUUACUUUUGACCCUAUUGAUUAUUGCCCAGUUUGUAAGAAACUGUACAUUUUAAGAAAGGUGCAAGACAAUAGUCAAGAAACAAUUCAAGAGCCAGCAACUUUAUCUAGCAUCAUGGUUGUACAGGAGGCAAGAACAGGGAGAUCAGAUUUGGGGCAAAGAUUCAAGUCAGCCUUGCAACAUUUUUUGGCUACAUGGAGGCAAAUCUGCAAGUAG